rnacentral:rRNA from 1 species
AUUGAACGCUGGCGGCAGGCCUAACACAUGCAAGUCGAACGGUAACAGGAAGAAGCUUGCUUCUUUGCUGACGAGUGGCGGACGGGUGAGUAAUGUCUGGGAAACUGCCUGAUGGAGGGGGAUAACUACUGGAAACGGUAGCUAAUACCGCAUAACGUCGCAAGACCAAAGAGGGGGACCUUCGGGCCUCUUGCCAUCGGAUGUGCCCAGAUGGGAUUAGCUUGUUGGUGGGGUAACGGCUCACCAAGGCGACGAUCCCUAGCUGGUCUGAGAGGAUGACCAGCCACACUGGAACUGAGACACGGUCCAGACUCCUACGGGAGGCAGCAGUGGGGAAUAUUGCACAAUGGGCGCAAGCCUGAUGCAGCCAUGCCGCGUGUAUGAAGAAGGCCUUCGGGUCGUAAAGUACUUUCAGCGGGGAGGAAGGGAGUAAAGUUAAUACCUUUGCUCAUUGACGUUACCCGCAGAAGAAGCACCGGCUAACUCCGUG